rnacentral:misc_RNA from 1 species
ACUAAAAUAGAUUUAACAGUGCAACUGUCAAUAUCUUUUUUCUUUUCUCUAAAAUAAACCAGCAUAUAUAUUGUUCCUAGUUCAACAAAAUGUCCUCCCUACAACUACAACUACAUCUCAAUUCCAAACAAGUAACGUGUUGUCUCUGACAUAAUGAUCUCUAAUUAACAAAUUUUUAUGAGAAAAAUCUAAAUCAUAUUUCAAACUUCUAGUAAGAUAAUCAAACAACACUUUAGAAAUCUCGGAAACUCAUUUUUGGGUCUUGUUGUUUGUUGCUGCCCCGUCCUCUUCCGCGAUAACCUCCUCUUCCUCUUCCUCUACCUCUUCCUCUCCUGCCAUGCCUAGAAAACGAUCUUCCAUGUUUCAUUUCCACAAGUGAAUGCAGCAGCUCGUCGCAAAGAAUACAACCCUUAUGGAGUGUAGCUCCAUCUUUCAAGGGCGUUGUUUUCUUGUUGAAAUCGACUUCUAUGAUAGUGGAAUCACAUUCAGGACACUUCUCUUGAGUUGUAGAAAUCCGA